rnacentral:rRNA from 1 species
UACGUAGGAGGCGAGCGUUGUCCGGAGUUACUGGGCGUAAAGGGUGCGCAGGCGGUGGCCCGCGUGGGCGGUGAAAGCUCCUGGCUCAACUGGGAGAGGGCCGUCCAGACGGGGUCACUUGAGGGGCGGAGAGGGGCGUGGAAUUCCGGGUGGAGCGGUGAAAUGCGUAGAUAUCUGGAGGAACACCGGUGGCGAAGGCGGCAUCCUGGACCGGCAUUGACGCUGAGGAGCGAAAGCCAGGGGAGCAAAAGGG